GGUUAAGCGACUAAGCGUACACGGUGGAUGCCCUGGCAGUCAGAGGCGAUGAAGGACGUGCUAAUCUGCGAUAAGCGUCGGUAAGGUGAUAUGAACCGUUAUAACCGGCGAUUUCCGAAUGGGGAAACCCAGUGUGUUUCGACACACUAUCAUUAACUGAAUCCAUAGGUUAAUGAGGCGAACCGGGGGAACUGAAACAUCUAAGUACCCCGAGGAAAAGAAAUCAACCGAGAUUCCCCCAGUAGCGGCGAGCGAACGGGGAGCAGCCCAGAGCCUGAAUCAGUGUGUGUGUUAGUGGAAGCGUCUGGAAAGGCGCGCGAUACAGGGUGACAGCCCCGUACACAAAAAUGCACAUGCUGUGAGCUCGAUGAGUAGGGCGGGACACGUGGUAUCCUGUCUGAAUAUGGGGGGACCAUCCUCCAAGGCUAAAUACUCCUGACUGACCGAUAGUGAACCAGUACCGUGAGGGAAAGGCGAAAAGAACCCCGGCGAGGGGAGUGAAAAAGAACCUGAAACCGUGUACGUACAAGCAGUGGGAGCACGCUUAGGCGUGUGACUGCGUACCUUUUGUAUAAUGGGUCAGCGACUUAUAUUCUGUAGCAAGGUUAACCGAAUAGGGGAGCCGAAGGGAAACCGAGUCUUAACUGGGCGUUAAGUUGCAGGGUAUAGACCCGAAACCCGGUGAUCUAGCCAUGGGCAGGUUGAAGGUUGGGUAACACUAACUGGAGGACCGAACCGACUAAUGUUGAAAAAUUAGCGGAUGACUUGUGGCUGGGGGUGAAAGGCCAAUCAAACCGGGAGAUAGCUGGUUCUCCCCGAAAGCUAUUUAGGUAGCGCCUCGUGAAUUCAUCUCCGGGGGUAGAGCACUGUUUCGGCAAGGGGGUCAUCCCGACUUACCAACCCGAUGCAAACUGCGAAUACCGGAGAAUGUUAUCACGGGAGACACACGGCGGGUGCUAACGUCCGUCGUGAAGAGGGAAACAACCCAGACCGCCAGCUAAGGUCCCAAAGUCAUGGUUAAGUGGGAAACGAUGUGGGAAGGCCCAGACAGCCAGGAUGUUGGCUUAGAAGCAGCCAUCAUUUAAAGAAAGCGUAAUAGCUCACUGGUCGAGUCGGCCUGCGCGGAAGAUGUAACGGGGCUAAACCAUGCACCGAAGCUGCGGCAGCGACACUAUGUGUUGUUGGGUAGGGGAGCGUUCUGUAAGCCUGUGAAGGUGUGCUGUGAGGCAUGCUGGAGGUAUCAGAAGUGCGAAUGCUGACAUAAGUAACGAUAAAGCGGGUGAAAAGCCCGCUCGCCGGAAGACCAAGGGUUCCUGUCCAACGUUAAUCGGGGCAGGGUGAGUCGACCCCUAAGGCGAGGCCGAAAGGCGUAGUCGAUGGGAAACAGGUUAAUAUUCCUGUACUUGGUGUUACUGCGAAGGGGGGACGGAGAAGGCUAUGUUGGCCGGGCGACGGUUGUCCCGGUUUAAGCGUGUAGGCUGGUUUUCCAGGCAAAUCCGGAAAAUCAAGGCUGAGGCGUGAUGACGAGGCACUACGGUGCUGAAGCAACAAAUGCCCUGCUUCCAGGAAAAGCCUCUAAGCAUCAGGUAACAUCAAAUCGUACCCCAAACCGACACAGGUGGUCAGGUAGAGAAUACCAAGGCGCUUGAGAGAACUCGGGUGAAGGAACUAGGCAAAAUGGUGCCGUAACUUCGGGAGAAGGCACGCUGAUAUGUAGGUGAAGCGACUUGCUCGUGGAGCUGAAAUCAGUCGAAGAUACCAGCUGGCUGCAACUGUUUAUUAAAAACACAGCACUGUGCAAACACGAAAGUGGACGUAUACGGUGUGACGCCUGCCCGGUGCCGGAAGGUUAAUUGAUGGGGUCAGCGCAAGCGAAGCUCUUGAUCGAAGCCCCGGUAAACGGCGGCCGUAACUAUAACGGUCCUAAGGUAGCGAAAUUCCUUGUCGGGUAAGUUCCGACCUGCACGAAUGGCGUAAUGAUGGCCAGGCUGUCUCCACCCGAGACUCAGUGAAAUUGAACUCGCUGUGAAGAUGCAGUGUACCCGCGGCAAGACGGAAAGACCCCGUGAACCUUUACUAUAGCUUGACACUGAACAUUGAGCCUUGAUGUGUAGGAUAGGUGGGAGGCUUUGAAGUGUGGACGCCAGUCUGCAUGGAGCCGACCUUGAAAUACCACCCUUUAAUGUUUGAUGUUCUAACGUUGACCCGUAAUCCGGGUUGCGGACAGUGUCUGGUGGGUAGUUUGACUGGGGCGGUCUCCUCCUAAAGAGUAACGGAGGAGCACGAAGGUUGGCUAAUCCUGGUCGGACAUCAGGAGGUUAGUGCAAUGGCAUAAGCCAGCUUGACUGCGAGCGUGACGGCGCGAGCAGGUGCGAAAGCAGGUCAUAGUGAUCCGGUGGUUCUGAAUGGAAGGGCCAUCGCUCAACGGAUAAAAGGUACUCCGGGGAUAACAGGCUGAUACCGCCCAAGAGUUCAUAUCGACGGCGGUGUUUGGCACCUCGAUGUCGGCUCAUCACAUCCUGGGGCUGAAGUAGGUCCCAAGGGUAUGGCUGUUCGCCAUUUAAAGUGGUACGCGAGCUGGGUUUAGAACGUCGUGAGACAGUUCGGUCCCUAUCUGCCGUGGGCGCUGGAGAACUGAGGGGGGCUGCUCCUAGUACGAGAGGACCGGAGUGGACGCAUCACUGGUGUUCGGGUUGUCAUGCCAAUGGCACUGCCCGGUAGCUAAAUGCGGAAGAGAUAAGUGCUGAAAGCAUCUAAGCACGAAACUUGCCCCGAGAUGAGUUCUCCCUGACUCCUUGAGAGUCCUGAAGGAACGUUGAAGACGACGACGUUGAUAGGCCGGGUGUGUAAGCGCAGCGAUGCGUUGAGCUAACCGGUACUAAUGAACCGUGAGGCUUAACCUU
rnacentral:rRNA from 1 species